rnacentral:rRNA from 1 species
GACGAACCGUGCAAACGUUGUUCGGAAUCACUGGGCUUAAAGGGCGCGUAGGCGGGCGGGCAAGUCGGGGGUGAAAUCCCACGGCUCAACCGUGGAAGUGCCUUUGAUACUGCCGGUCUGGAGGGAGGUAGGGGCGUGCGGAACUUCCGGUGGAGCGGUGAAAUGCGUAGAUAUCGGAAGGAACACCGGUGGCGAAAGCGGCGCGCUGGACCUCUACUGACGCUGAGGCGCGAAAGCUAGGGGAGCAAACGGG